rnacentral:tRNA from 1 species
UCCCUGGUGGCUUAGACGGUAAAGCAUCUGCCUGCAAUGCAGGAGACCCGGGUUUGAUUCCUGGGUUGGGAA